rnacentral:rRNA from 1 species
UACGUAGGGUGCAAGCGUUAAUCGGAAUUACUGGGCGUAAAGCGUGCGCAGGCGGUUUUGUAAGUCUGUCGUGAAAGCCCCGGGCUCAACCUGGGAAUUGCGAUGGAGACUGCAAGGCUUGAAUCUGGCAGAGGGGGGGUAGAAUUCCACGUGUAGCAGUGAAAUGCGUAGAGAUGUGGAGGAACACCGAUGGCGAAGGCAGCCCCCUGGGUCAAGAUUGACGCUCAUGCACGAAAGCGUGGGGAGCAAACGGG